AUCACUUCCCUGGCCUUUUGGCUAAGAUCAAGUGUAGUAUCUGUUCUUAUCAGUUUAAAUAUGAGAAAAUUUGAGCCUGUUUUUUUUUAAAGACUGUAUUUCAGAGUUUUGAUUUAUGACACAUACCAUUC
rnacentral:snRNA from 1 species